GGUUAUAGAGAGAGGUUUUCUGUUUCAUGGUUUGUAUGGUUAUAGAGAGAGGUUUUCUGUUUCAUGGUUUGUAUGGUUAUAGAGAGAGGUUUUUAUGGUUAUAGAGAGAGGUUUUCUGUUUCAUGGUUUGUAUGGUUAUAGAGAGAGGUUUGUAUGGUUAUAGAGAGAGGUUUUUUUUGUUACGGGGUUGACAUUUUGUUAUGGUUCCAUUGAACCAGUAUCUGUUGAGGAGGAUGCCCUGACUGUGGAACAGUAGACCGAGCACUCAUAUACUGUCUUUUCUUUUGUUUUUCAUUAUGGGGGAAUGAGUGUGUUUUGAUUAUGGGGGAAUUAAUGAAUGUGUUUUUGAUUAUGGGGGAAUGAAUGAAUGUGUGUUUGAUUAUGGGGGAAUGAAUGAAUGUGUUUUUGAUUAUGGGGGAAUGAAUGUGGUUUUGAUUAUGGGGGAAUGAAUGAAUGUGGUUUUGAUUAGGGGGGAAUGAAUGAAUGUGUUUUUGAUUAUGGGGGAAUGAAUGAAUGAGUUUUUGAUUAUGGGGGAAUGCAUUAAUGUGUUUUUGAUUAUGGGGGAAUGAAUGAAUGUGUUUUUGAUUAUGGGGGAAUGAAUGAAUGUGUUUUUGAUUAUGGGGAAAUGAAUGAAUGUGUUUUUGAUUAUGGGGGAAUGAAUGAAUGUGUUUUUGAUUAUGGGGGAAUGAAUGAAUGAAUGUGUUUUUGAUUAUGGGGGUAUGAAUGAAUGUGUUUUUGAUUAUGGGGGAAUGAAUGAAUGCGUUUUUGAUUAUGGGGGAAUGAAUGAAUGUGUUUUGAUUAUGGGGGAAUGAAUGAAUGUGUUUUUGAUUAUGGUGGAAUGCAUUAAUGUGUUUUUGAUUAUGGGGGAAUGAAUGAAUGUGUGUUUGAUUAUGGGGGAAUGAAUGAAUGUGUUUUUGAUUAUGGGGGAAUGAAUGAAUGUGUUUUUGAUUAUGGGGGAAUGAAUGAAUGUGUUUUUGAUUAUGGGGGAAUGAAUGAAUGUGUUUUUGAUUAUGGGGGAAUGAAUGAAUGUGUUUUUGAUUAUGGGGGAAUGAAUGAAUGUGUUUUUGAUUAUGGGGGAAUGAAUGAAUGUGUUUUUGAUUAUGGGGGAAUGAAUGAAUGUGUGUUUGAUUAUGGGAGAAUGAAUGAAUGUGUUUUUGUUUAUGGGGGAAUGAAUGAAUGUGUUUUUGAUUAUGGGGGAAUGAAUGAAUGUGUGUUUGAUUAUGGGAGAAUGAAUGAAUGUGUUUUUGUUUAUGGGGGAAUGAAUGAAUGUGUUUUUGAUUAUGGGGGAAUGAAUUAAUGUGUUUUUGAUUAUGGGGGAAUGAAUGAAUGUGUUUUUGAUUAUGGGGGAAUGAAUGAAUGUGUUUUUGAUUAUGGGGGAAUGAAUGAAUGUGUUUUUGAUUAUGGGGGAAUGAAUGAAUGUGUUUUUGAUUAUGGGGGAAUGAAUGAAUGUGUUUUUGAUUAUGGGGGAAUGAAUGAAUGUGUUUUUGAUUUGUGUGUUGCCUUUUUUCUGUUCCCCUGCCCAUGGUGCCUUAAUGU